rnacentral:piRNA from 1 species
UGUAAGCAAUUCAAAAGCAUG